rnacentral:rRNA from 1 species
UACGUAGGGUGCGAGCGUUAAUCGGAAUUACUGGGCGUAAAGCGUGCGCAGGCGGUUUUGUAAGCCAGAUGUGAAAUCCCCGGGCUUAACCUGGGAAUGGCAUUUGGGACUGCAAGGCUUGAGUGCGGCAGAGGAGACUGGAAUUCCUGGUGUAGCAGUGAAAUGCGUAGAUAUCAGGGGGAACACCGAUGGCGAAGGCAGGUCUCUGGGCUGACUCUGACGCUCAUGCACGAAAGCGUGGGGAGCAAACAGG